GACCCUUUCUUCUCCCUUUUAAACAUUCUUUAUGCAUCUCUAGCACUUGUAAUCAAUCAAAUUCAAUGUAUUAUAACAUAUUCUAACCCAACAUAACUUUAUACAAGCCAUUCACUGCCUCAAAGCAAUGGUUUUGGGUUCUUAUCCCAUUUGGGACCAAAUAUCAACAGGUAUUUCUUCUCACUUUUAAACAUUCUUCAUGCAUCUCUAGCACUUGUAAUCAAUCAAAUUCAAUGUAUUAUAAC
rnacentral:lncRNA from 1 species